ensembl:lncRNA
GAAUUUCCAGAGAGUAGUUUAUCUGUUAAAACUAGGCGUAGCUAGAUGCUCAUCAUAUUAGGUUGCUGAAUACAAGCAAUAAGUGCUUUGGCUUCUUAUGAACUUCAUGAAAGUCCUUGUGUAUGUGUGGCUUCACCUACCGGCUCAGGCUUUUAAUCUGUAUCCCACAGCUGCACAAGUAGGAACACCCCUGUCAUCCAACACCUAUCUCUAAGCAGCAGUCAGGAGCAGAAGAGAUGAAAAUACCUUCUUGGGGCUCUCCAGCAGGAUCUCCAGUUCUGCAGGUGCACCUCUGAACUCAUUUACCAAAGUACGCCAAGCCCAUCCUGUGCCAGCAAAACCUCUGUUAAAGAUUUGGCAACAAGAUGUCCAGAUCUGCUGCGGCCACCAACACCACCGUGGUGGAUGUGCUGGAGAAGGCCUUGAGAAAGGGCAGCUCGUUUUCUCGGCCAUCCAUGUCUUUGCGCAUCAUAUAUCACGCCUAUGUGUCCAGAGGAAAGAAAGAUCCCCUCCAACCCAGCAGCCCUGUAACGGAUGGACCUUCCCGAUUUGCAGCUAGCUGACAGCUUGUGAGAACAACAGCUUGAAUUACUGAAAGAACUUUUCCCACUGAGUUAAUCUGCAAUGGAUGUAGGUGACCUUCUAAAGGCAUCUAUUAAUCAAAAAACCCGUGCCCAUUCACUGCGCUAGGCUGAGCCCUUUGGGGGAAGGGGGGGUACUAAUUUCCCUCUGAGAUAAAUCAUAAUUUGACAAUAAUCAUCUGCCCUAAUCACUCCGAUUCUUCCCUUUAAUUAUUUGUACACACAGCUCUUCCUGCCUGGGAAACACAAAGGAUGACAUUAAACGUGGCCAGGGAGGGGUGGGCAGCGGGGCUGCGAGGCUGUCACCCAGCACUGUCCGCCAUGGGGCCAGCAUGGUGACACCCCACAGUGACACCCCACGGUGACACCCCACUGUGACACCCCCAGCCCUAAAUCUGUGUCUGUGGACAGAUAUACGCAGUGUGUAGUCGACAAGGAGCAAGGACAGUGAUGGCAGCUGGGCUCCGAGCGCAGCAGCAUCACUGCAGAGAUGUGCCUUGGUCUCUGCACGGUGCAGUCUGGGAGGCAGGUCUUUCAGGAUGUACACAUCAGCCCCCCCAAUACGAGCAAAAUCGGGGACAGCCCCCACAAGCUUCCUCAGAGCAGCUGGGCUGAUGUACAGUAAUUCCCACAGCCCAGGUCAGUAGGAUGUCUCACAAGCUAUAACACGGACCUACAGCACCAUAUGCUGGCCUAGUUUAGCAUCUACACAGCAGUGCAGCCUGCCUGGCUGCAUCGCUGCUCCCAGAGCACAGCAGAGCAGAGCUGGCCACCUGGCCCGCAGAGCAGAGCAGGCACUUGGGGACCUGCAGGGCUGCUGGUGCAGCUGGGAGAGGCAGCUCUGCUGCUGUGUGCGUGGGGACCGGCCAGCAGCAUGCCGGGACAGGCCGUCGGUGGGAGUGGGGCACACAGGUAGGACACGCUGGGCCCAGCCAUGUGAAGCCACUCUGUGGUUCAAGCAGUGCCUGCAGUGAAAGAGACG